AUUGAACGCUGGCGGCAGGCCUAACACAUGCAAGUCGAACGGUAACAGGAAGCAGCUUGCUGCUUUGCUGACGAGUGGCGGACGGGUGAGUAAUGUCUGGGAAACUGCCUGAUGGAGGGGGAUAACUACUGGAAACGGUAGCUAAUACCGCAUAACUUCGCAACACCAUAGAGGAGGACCUUCGGGCCUCUUGCCAUCGGAUGUUCCCUGAUGGGAUUAGCUAGUAGGUAGGGUAACGGCUCACCUAGGCGACGAUCCCUAGCUGGUCUGAGAGGAUGAACAGCCACACUGGAACUGAGACACGGUCCAGACUCCUACGGGAGGCAGCAGUGGGGAAUAUUGCACAAUGGGCGCAAGCCUGAUGGAGCAAUGCCGCGUGUAUGAUGAAGGUCUUCGGGUCGUAAAGUACUGUCAGCGGGGAGGAAGGGAGUAAUGUUAAUCUCUUCGCUCAUUGACGUUACCCGCAGAAGAAGCACCGGCUAACUACGUG
rnacentral:rRNA from 1 species